ACUCAAAUGAAUAGACGGGGACCCACACAAGCGGUGGAGCAUCUGGUUUAAUUCGAUAGUAAGCGAGGAACCUCACCAAGACUUGACAUCCCGGGAAGUCUGCCGAAAGGUGGAUGUGCCGUAAGGAACCCGGUGACAGGUGCUGCAUGGUUGUCGUCAGCUCGUGCCUUGAGGUGUUCGGUUAAGUCCGUGAACGAGCGCAACCCUUGUCCUAAGUUGUAUUUUUCUUAGGAGACUGCCGGCUCUAAGUCGGAGGAAGGUAAGGAUGACGUCAAAUCAGCAUGGCCCUUAUGUCUUGGGCUACACAGGUGCUACAAUGGUAGGUACAGUGAGACGCAAAGAGGUAACUCUGAGCUAAUCCCCAAAGCCUAUCUCAGUUCGGAUUGAGGGCUGCAACUCGCCCUCAUGAAGUUGGAAUCGCUAGUAACCGCGGAUCAGCAAUGGCGCGGUGAAUAUGUUCCUGGGUCUUGUACACACCGCCCGU
rnacentral:rRNA from 1 species